rnacentral:ncRNA from 1 species
AACCUGGUUGAUCCUGCCAGUAGUCAUACGCUUGUCUCAAAGAUUAAGCCAUGCAUGUCUAAGUAUAAACACGUUUUGUACUGUGAAACUGCGAAUGGCUCAUUAUAUCAGUUAUAGUCCACUCGAUAGUACCUUACUACUUGGAUAACCGUAGUAACUCU